GACGAACGCUGGCGGCGUGCCUAACACAUGCAAGUCGAACGGAGCAGAUCCCUUCGGGGGUUUGCUUAGUGGCGAACGGGUGAGUAACGCGUGAGGAACCUCCCUUUCAGUGGGGGACAACAGUUGGAAACGACUGCUAAUACCGCAUAAUGCUUUUGAGCAGCAUCGCUUGAAAGCCAAAGAUUUAUCGCUGAAAGAUGGUCUCGCGUCUGAUUAGCUAGUUGGUGAGGUAACGGCUCACCAAGGCGACGAUCAGUAGCCGGUCUGAGAGGAUGAACGGCCACAUUGGGACUGAGAUACGGCCCAG
rnacentral:rRNA from 1 species